AGGAUGAACGCUGGCGGCGUGCCUAAUACAUGCAAGUCGAACGGGGUGUUUGAGCAAUCGGACACUUAGUGGCGAACGGGUGAGUAACGCGUUGGUGACCUGCCCCAAAGCGGGGGAUAACAGCCUGAAAGGGUUGCUAAUACCGCAUAUGAUGAUGAGAGACUAGAAACUUAUCAUUAAAGGAGAAAUCCACUUUGGGAGGGGCCUGCGUCCCAUCAGCUAGUUGGUAGGGUAAAAGCCUACCAAGGCGAAGACGGGUAGGGGACCUGAGAGGGUGACCCCCCACAAUGGAACUGAAACACGGUCCAUACACCUACGGGUGGCAGCAGUAGGGGAUAUUGCACAAUGGGCGGAAGCCUGAUGCAGCAACGCCGCGUGAGUGAUGAAGGCCCUCGGGUCGUAAAACUCUUUUCAAGAGGAAGAGGAAGGACGGUACUCUUGGAAUAAGCCUCGGCUAACUACGUG
rnacentral:rRNA from 1 species